AGGCUGCAGCAAGGAAUAUUGGGCAAUGGGCGAAAGCCUGACCCAGCGACGCCGCGUGAGGGAAGAAGGCCUUCGGGUCGUAAACCUCUUUUCCCAGGGAAGAAUAAUGACGGUACCUGGGGAAUAAGCCUCGGCUAACUACGUGCCAGCAGCCGCGGUAAUACGUAGGAGGCGAGCGUUAUCCGGAUUUACUGGGCGUAAAGAGGGUGCAGGCGGCUCUUCAAGUCGGAUGUAAAAUCUCCCGGCUCAACUGGGAGGGACCAUUCGAUACUGCUGGGCUAGAGGGCAGCAGGGGGAGGUGGAAUUCCCGGUGUAGUGGUGAAAUGCGUAGAUAUCGGGAGGAACACCAGUGGCGAAGGCGGCCUCCUGGGCUGUUUCUGACGCUGAGGCCCGUAAGCGUGGGGAGCAAACAGGAUUAGAUACCCUGGUAGUC
rnacentral:rRNA from 1 species